rnacentral:rRNA from 1 species
ACAGCAGCAGCCGCGGUAAUGCGUAGGUGGCAAGCGUUGUCCGGAAUUAUUGGGCGUAAAGGGCUCGCAGGCGGUUUCCUAAGUCUGAUGUGAAAGCCCCCGGCUCAACCGGGGAGGGUCAUUGGAAACUGGGAAACUUGAGUGCAGAAGAUGAGAGUGGAAUUCCACGUGUAGCGGUGAAAUGCGUAGAGAUGUGGAGGAACACCAGUAGCGAAGGCGACUCUCUGGUCUGUAACUGACGCUGAGGAGCGAAAGCGUGGGGAGCGAACAGGAUUAGAUACCCCUGUAGUCCCUGUCUCUUAUAC